GACGAACGCUGGCGGCGUGCUUAACACAUGCAAGUCGAACGGAAAGGCCCUGCUUUUGUGGGGUGCUCGAGUGGCGAACGGGUGAGUAACACGUGAGUAACCUGCCCUUGACUUUGGGAUAACUUCAGGAAACUGGGGCUAAUACCGGAUAGGAGCUCCUGCUGCAUGGUGGGGGUUGGAAAGUUUCGGCGGGUGGGGAUGGACUCGCGGCUUAUCAGCUUGUUGGUGGGGUAGUGGCUUACCAAGGCUUUGACGGGUAGCCGGCCUGAGAGGGUGACCGGCCACAAUGGGACUGAGAUACGGCCCAGACUCCUACGGGAGGCAGCAGUGGGGAAUAUUGCACAAUGGGCGGAAGCCUGAUGCAGCAACGCCGCGUGCGGGAUGACGGCCUUCGGGUUGUAAACCGCUUUCGCCUGUGACGAAGCGUGAGUGACGGUAAUGGGUAAAGAAGCACCGGCUAACUACGUG
rnacentral:rRNA from 1 species